rnacentral:rRNA from 1 species
GUGGGGAAUAUUGGACAAUGGGCGAAAGCCUGAUCCAGCCAUGCCGCGUGUGUGAAGAAGGUCUUCGGAUUGUAAAGCACUUUAAGUUGGGAGGAAGGGUAGUAACCUAAUACGUUGCUACUUUGACGUUACCGACAGAAUAAGCACCGGCUAACUUCGUGCCAGCAGCCGCGGUAAUACGAAGGGGGCAAGCGUUAAUCGGAAUUACUGGGCGUAAAGCGCGCGUAGGUGGUUCAGUAAGUUGGAAGUGAAAUCCCCGGGCUCAACCUGGGAACUGCUUUCAAAACUGCUGAGCUAGAGUACGGUAGAGGGUGGUGGAAUUUCCUGUGUAGCGGUGAAAUGCGUAGAUAUGGGAAGGAACACCAGUGGCGAAGGCGACCACCUGGACUGAUACUGACACUGAGGUGCGAAAGCGUGGGGAGCAAACAGGAUUAGAAACCCCUGUAGUCC